AGCGAACGCUGGCGGCAGGCCUAACACAUGCAAGUCGAACGAUUAAGACUUCCUUCGGGAAGUGUGUAAAGUGGCGCACGGGUGAGUAACACGUAAGUAAUCUGCCUUCGAGUGGGGAAUACCUUCGGGAAACCGAAGAUAAUACCGCAUAAUGCAGCGGCACCGCAAGGUGACAGUUGUUAAAGGAGCAAUCCGCUUGAAGAGGAGCUUGCGGCAGAUUAGCUAGUGGUAAGGUAAUGGCUUACCAAGGCUACGAUCUGUAUCCGGUCUAAGAGGACGGUCGGACACACUGACACUGAAUAACGGGUCAGACUCCUACGGGAGGCAGCAGUCGGGAAUUUUGGGCAAUGGGCGAAAGCCUGACCCAGCAACGCCGCGUGAAGGAUGAAGUA
rnacentral:rRNA from 1 species